rnacentral:rRNA from 1 species
AGAGUUUGAUCAUGGCUCAGGAUAAACGCUGGCGGUGUGCUUCAUGCAUGCAAGUCGCACGAUUUUGAUUUAUCAAAGUAGUGGCAAACGGGUGAGUAACACGUAAGUAACCUGCCCCUAAGUAUGGGAUAACGCUGAGAAAUCGGUGCUAAUACCACAUGUGGUGGUGGAGGUAAAGCUCCAUCACUAAAGCCGUAAGGCGCUUGGGGAGGGGCUUGCGCCUGAUUAGCUAGUUGGUAGGGUAACGGUCUACCAAGGCGAAGAUCAGUAGCUGGUCUGAGAGGACGGUCAGCCACACUGGGACUGAGACACGGCCCAGACUCCUACGGGAGGCAGCAGCAAGGAAUUUUGUGCAAUGGGCGAAAGCCUGACACAGCGACACCGCGUGGGGGAUGAAGGCUCUCGGGUUGUAAACCCCUUUUCUCAGGGAUGAAUAAUGACAGUACCUGA